rnacentral:rRNA from 1 species
AGAGAAUAGAUACCCCGGUAGUCCACGCUGUAAACUAUGAGAACUGGGCGUUAGGGAUUCCCCUAGUGCCGAAAGCUAAACGCGUUAAAGUUCUCCGCCUGGGGAGUACGGCCGCAAGGCUAAAACUCAAAGGAAUUGACGGGGCCCGCACAAGCGGUGGAGCAUGUGGUUUAAUUCGAUGCAACGCGAAGAACCUUACCUACCCUUGACAUCCUUGGAAUCCUCUAGAGAUAGAGGAGUGCCCUCGGGAACCAAGUGACAGGUGCUGCAUGGCUGUCGUCAGCUCGUGUCGUGAGAUGUUGGGUUAAGUCCCGUAACGAGCGCAACCCUUAUCCUUAGUUGCCAGCGCGUAAUGGCGGGAACUCUAAGGAGACUGCCAGUGAUAAACUGGAGGAAGGCGAGGACGAUGUCAAGUCAUCAUGGCCCUUACGGGUAGGGCUACACACGUGCUACAAUGGGCAGUACAAAGGGUUGCAAUACCGCAAGGUGGAGCGAAUCCCAGAAAGCUGCUCUCAGUCCGGAUUGGAGUCUGCAACUC